rnacentral:rRNA from 1 species
UUUGAACGGCUACACCCAAAAUUAUAUCUUAAUCCAACAUCGAGGUCGCAAUCUUUUUUAUCGAUAUGAACUCUCCAAAAAAAUUACGCUGUUAUCCCUAAAGUAACUUAAAUUUUUAAUCAUUAUUAAUGGAUCAAUUAUUCAUAAAUUAAUGGUUUUAAAAAUUAAAAGUUUUUUAAAUUUUAAUAUCACCCCAAUAAAAUAUUUUAAUUUAUUAUAAUAAAAAUAAUCUUUAUAAUUAAAAUAAACAAAAUAUAAAGAUUUAUAGGGUCUUCUCGUCUUUUAAAUUUAUUUUAGCUUUUUGACUAAAAAAUAAAAUUCUAUAAAAAAUUUAAAUGAAACAGUUAAUAUUUCGUCCAACCAUUCAUUCCAGCCUUCAAUUAAAAGACUAAUGAUUAUGCUACCUUUGCACAGUUAGAAUACUGCGGCCAUUUAAAAUUUUCAGUGGGCAGGUUAGACUUUAAAUUUAAUUCAAAAAGAC